rnacentral:rRNA from 1 species
AUUGAACGCUGGCGGCAGGCCUAACACAUGCAAGUCGAGCGGCAGCGGGAAAGUAGCUUGCUACUUUUGCCGGCGAGCGGCGGACGGGUGAGUAAUGCCUGGGAAAUUGCCCAGUCGAGGGGGAUAACAGUUGGAAACGACUGCUAAUACCGCAUACGCCCUACGGGGGAAAGCAGGGGACCUUCGGGCCUUGCGCGAUUGGAUAUGCCCAGGUGGGAUUAGCUAGUUGGUGAGGUAAUGGCUCACCAAGGCGACGAUCCCUUGCUGGUCUGAGAGGAUGAUCAGCCACACUGGAACUGAGACACGGUCCAGACUCCUACGGCAGGCAGCAGUGGGAAUAUUGGACAAUGGGGGAAACCCUGAUGCAGCCAUGCCGCGUGUGUGAAGAAGGCCUUCGGGUUGUAAAGCACUUUCAGCGAGGAGGAAAGGUUGAUGCCUAAUACGUAUCAACUGUGACGUUACUCGCAGAAGAAGCACCGGCUAACUCCGUGCCAGCCGCCGCAGUAAGAC